UAUACUUUUCAUUGGAACUCGGUGGCUAAAGGGCUAAACACCCCUGUUCCUCUUCAUUGUAGAAAGAUCAGAGCAAACACGGAUCCAUUAGAAAGGCUAGAAUCUGACGAUCUGCCACCAGAUUAAUUUGUUCUCCCAUAAAUCUUUCUCAAUCUUCAGAGAAUGAAGCGUUGUAUUAUUCGUCCUUCUAUCCACGCAAUUCUCUGUCUUCGUUCGUGAUCAAGUUGGGCGGCUGUCAAACGGUGUUUACCCCCUUUCCAUUGAAGUAGGAAGGGUCUUUCUGAAGCAAAUUGAAAAGCUUCUUAUGUUGGUAUGGAUAAAGAGUGGGUAUUUCUUGAUCGCAGAACAGAUGAGUAUAUGGCUGCAUUGCGUGCAUUUAUCAACCACUCCUUGUUAGUUGCUAGUUUUGAGGGUAAAAUCAAGUGUCCUUGUAUAGAAUGUUACAAUUGUGGCUGGAGAUCACCAAAAGAGGUUGAAGAUCAUCUUAAAGUAGAUGGCAUGUGCCCAAACUAUCUUCAUUCACGCUGGAAGUGGCAUGGCGAGCCAUUGCAAUUGAGUAACAUGGGAGAACCUCCUUUAGGGGCUGCUGAUAUAACAGCUAUGCUCCACGAUGCGUUUGGUAUGCACGGUCCUAGUAAUGAUGACAAUGUUCAAGAAGAAGAUGCGCCUCCGCAGAACCUCACUCCUGAUGCUGAAAAAUUCUAUCGUUUGAUUGAAGAGGGUAAAACCGAAUUGUACCCAGGUUGUGGGAAGUCAAAACUUGAUUUCAUGUUGCAGUUGUAUCAACUCAAAGCUAUAAACUGUUGGACUGAUGUGUCUUUCACAGGCUUGUUGAACAUGUUAAAAGUAUGGUUUCCUGAAGCAAACCUUCCUACUAAUUUCUACCAAACGAAGAAGCUCAUAACUGAUUUGGCAUUGCCUUAUGAAAAGAUAGAUGUAUGCCCUAAGGACUGUAUGUUGUUUUGGAAAGAACAUGCUGACCUUGAUAAGUGCAAAGUGUGUGGCGCCAGUCGAUACAAGUCCAAGAGCAGGUCUGGACGUACUAGAGUUGCUCAUAAGGUAUUACGUUAUUUUCCAUUGGGACCUCGACUUCAACGUCUUUACAUGUCACGCCACACAGCUCAGAGUAUGGUGUGGCAUUCUGAAGAGAGACCUGAUGAUGAAGUUCUUAGACAUCCUGCUGACUCACCAGCCUGGAAACAUCUUGACACAAUGUAUCCAAACUUUGCCUCAGACCCACGAAAUGUUCGUCUUGGGUUAGCAAGUGAUGGAUUUAAUCCUUUCGGUAUGAUGAGUCUGUCCCAUAGCACGUGGCCAGUUGUGAUGUCAGUCUACAACCUUCCGCCGUGGCUUUGUAUGAAACAACCUUACUUGAUGCUUUCAUUGCUCAUUCCUGGUCCAAAAGGUCCUGGAAAAGAUAUAGAUAUAUUCCUGCAGCCUUUAGUUGAAGAGUUGAAAAAUUUGUGGAACCAAGGGAUACCUACUUAUGAUGCAUUCAAGAAAGAGACUUUUGACAUGCAUGUUGCGGUUAUGUGGACCAUCAACGACUUCCCAGCAUAUUCUAUGCUAUCUGGUUGGAGCACUAAAGGCAAAUUAGCAUGUCCACAAUGUGCAUUUGGCACCAAGUCUACACGGCUAAGACAUGGCCGAAAAGAAUGCUACUUGGGACAUCGUCGAUGGCUUCCAAUGGCUCAUAAGUAUCGCAUGUUCAAGAAACCUUUUGACGGUAACAUUGAGCUAGACCAACCACCAAUUCCUAUGACAGGUUUAGAGUGUUUGGCUUCAUUACAUGGAUUGAAGUUUGAAUAUGGCAAGGGAGCUAUCAACAUGAAGGGACUAAAACGAAAAAGGGGAAAAAAGAAGAAAAAGUACUGUGGCCCGUGGAAGAAGAAAAGCAUAUUUUAUGAUCUUCCAUAUUGGAAGGACUUGCUUUUGCGACACAAUCUCGAUGUAAUGCACAUUGAGAAAAAUGUCACUGAAAGUGUUAUAGGAACCUUAUUGGGUAUGGAUGGGAAAAACAAGGAUUCUCUAAAUGCACGCUUGGACUUGCAGGAACUUAAUUGUAAGCCUAAGUACCACCCAAAAUUAGUUGGAGGUCGUUGUACUUAUGACCCUAUGCCUUUUACUUUGAAGGUCACUGAAAAAUCAUUGUUUUGCGAGAUAUUAUCUCUUGCUCUGCUUCCGGAUGGGUUUUCUUCUAAUCUAGCGAGAUGUGUUCGAAAAGCAGAACGAAAACUCGUGGGGCUGAAAAGUCAUGACUGCCACAUCAUUAUGCAGUAUUUACUUCCCCUGGCAAUUCGCCAUUCGCUGCCAAAAGAAGCCAAAGUUGUUUUGCUAGAGCUUAGCUCAUUCUUCAGAAAUCUCUGUACCAAAGUUGGAACCAAAGAACAUUUCGAAGAUUUGAGUAAACGAAUUGCCAUUACAUUGUGUCAUUUAGAGAGGUUAAUGCCGCCAUCAUUUUUUGAUGUGAUGGUACACCUCACAAUCCACCUUGCCGAAGAAGCAAAGAUUGCUGGUCCUGUCCAAUAUAGGUGGAUGUAUCCUAUUGAGAGGUAUUUGCAUACAUUAAAAAAGUAUGUGCGCAAUCGAAAUAGACCCGAGGGCAGCAUCGCUAUAGGGUAUAUUAUUGAGGAAACACUAGGAUUUUGUGCAUUGUAUUUGGGUGAUGAAGUUGUUAGCAAAAGAAAUAGACCCGGUCGUAACGCUGAUUUCACUGGAGGUGGAACUCAAAAUGGUCUCUCUGUAUUUUCCGGACAUGGACGAUCACUUGGCAGUAAGCAACUCAUUCAUCUUGAGCACGUACAGUGGGAACGGGCACAUCGAGCUGUUCUAUUCGGUUGUCCAGAGGUUGCAGAAUAUAUCAGCCAACAUGAGAAACUAAUUAUAGAUAAUCGACUUCCACGUGAGACGAGAAAGGCCGCGCAAGCACGAGCACAUAAGGAGUUUCCUGGAUGGUUUGGUACACAUAUUCAAUCACAGAUUGAUGAUGGAGUUGAAAUACAUGAAGACUUGCAAGCAUUGGCUAGGGGUCCAAACCAUUGGACAGGUCGCUUCUUGUCAUAUAUUAUCAACGGUUUUCGAUUUCAUGUGAAAUCAAUUGAUGUGGAAGGGAACACGCAGAAUAGCGGUGUUUUUGUGAGGGCGGUGGAAGAUAACUAUGUCUCUGCUCGAGAUCAUAAUCCAAGGGCUGCUCUUCUUGACUAUUACGGUGUAGUGAAAGACAUAAUUGAGUUAGACUAUCACCGUGGGCGCAGAGUGGUGUUGUUCGACUGUGACUGGAUUGAUGGAAGGGUUAGAGAUCGAUAUAUAAAAACUGAUGAAUAUGGUUUUGUGUUGGUUAACUUCAAGCACUUGCUUCCAGGGCCAGAUACAUUUACCCUUGGGUCAAAUGCCAAUCAACUAUUUUAUGUUAAGGAUCCCACGCAGCCCGAUUGGCAUGUUGCAGUAAGAACAAGACCACGAGAUUUAUUUGAUAUGGGUAACAUUAUGAAAGAUGACAUAGCAGCUCCUCAAAAUUUAGAACCGUUACUUGUUGCUGACGAAGACGUUCAAAAAACUAUCUCACAAGAUCUGGAGUUGGAAUUGCUUUUUGCGGGCAUGACUCUAUCAACUGAACCUUUCAAGGGAAUGCUUAUGUGGAAGGUGAAAGUAUUGAAAAUGGUAUUGGUGUUGUGAAGCUAAUGGGACACUACAGUGCAAGUUCAUAAUAGGAAGUUGCGAUACAAAGCUUCUAGAACUGCUGGAUUGUAAAGAUUGCUCAACUCUUGGGCAUUGUAUGCAAAAGUAAGAUGUACCAACCUUUGUAACUGGAGAUGAAACAACCCCCACAAAUGAAUCCGCACAGCUCUCAGGUGUUCGGUUUCCAGGAAAAUGUGCGGUGCUUUCGUAAUCGGCAUUUGAAUCCUCGGUUAACUCAAGGCUAUCAGUUGGAAGAUGGGCUGUAGGUGACAAAUGAGGGCCUGAGUUUCGUCGACUCCUAUUGACACGCGGUGGUGUUGUGAAUUGGUAGCCGCCGUUGUUUGGGUUUGGUCGAGUGGAGAGAUUUUCUGGUACAUCCCUGCAUUCGGCGUACUUGCCAAGAUAGAUGCCUAGUAUCUCUUUGGAUAAUCGAGUAUUUGGGUUAGGCGGUGUAUUAGAUGAGGAUGCUGGUGAAUGAGGAGGUUGAUUUUCAGGAGAUGGACCCUCCUUGAAUAACACCUUAGCACUCUUGGAUGCAGAACCUCUCUUCAUUUUGUGAACCUGAAAAUAGGGAGUGAAAUGAAUGAAAAUGUAAUGCUAGUA